GGGGGAUAUUGCACAAUGGGGGAAACCCUGAUGCAGCGAUGCCGCGUGGAGGAAGAAGGUUUUCGGAUUGUAAACUCCUGUCGUAAGGGAAGAGGAAGGACUGUACCUUACAAGAAAGCUCCGGCUAACUACGUGCCAGCAGCCGCGGUAAUACGUAGGGAGCGAGCGUUGUCCGGAAUGACUGGGUGUAAAGGGAGCGUAGGCGGGAUGGCAAGUCAGAUGUGAAACCUGAGGGCUCAACCUUCAGACUGCAUUUGAAACUGCUGUUCUUGAGUGAAGUAGAGGUAAGCGGAAUUCCUGGUGUAGCGGUGAAAUGCGUAGAGAUCAGGAGGAACAUCGGUGGCGAAGGCGGCUUACUGGGCUUUUACUGACGCUGAGGCUCGAAAGCGUGGGGAGCAAAC
rnacentral:rRNA from 1 species